rnacentral:rRNA from 1 species
UACGUAGGGUGCAAGCGUUAUCCGGAUUCACUGGGUUUAAAGGGUGCGUAGGCGGGCAGGUAAGUCCGUGGUGAAAUCUCUGAGCUUAACUCAGAAACUGCCAUGGAUACUAUUUGUCUUGAAUAUUGUGGAGGUAAGCGGAAUAUGUCAUGUAGCGGUGAAAUGCUUAGAUAUGACAUAGAACACCAAUUGCGAAGGCAGCUUACUAAAGUAUGAUUGACGCUGAGGCACGAAAGCGUGGGGAUCAAACAGG